rnacentral:piRNA from 1 species
GAGGACAACCUAGUGAGUUCAGUUGCCUC